CCUACGGGAGGCAGCAGUGAGGAAUAUUGGUCAAUGGGUGCGAGCCUGAACCAGCCAAGUCGCGUGAGGGAAGACGGCCCUACGGGUUGUAAACCUCUUUUGCCGGGGAGCAACGGGCGCCACGUGUGGCGCCACUGAGAGUACCCGGAGAAAAAGCAUCGGCUAACUCCGUGCCAGCAGCGGCGGUACUACGGAGGAUUCGAGCUGUAUCCGUCUUUAUUGGGUUUAAAGGGUGCGUAGGCGGAGCGUUAAGUCAGUGGCCAAGUUGAGGGGCUCAACCCCUUCCCGCCAUUGAAACUGGCGCUCUUGAGUGGAAGAGAAGUAUGCGGAAUGCGUGGUGUAGCGGUGAAAUGCAUAGAUAUCACGCAGAACCCCGAUUGCGAAGGCAGCAUGCCGGCUUCCGACUGACGCUGAAGCACGAAAGCGUGGGGAUCGAACAGGAUUAGAUACCCCGGUAGUC
rnacentral:rRNA from 1 species